rnacentral:lncRNA from 1 species
GGGGAGACUGAAGGGCAAAAGGGGAGGGGUGUAAACAUCACUGAGCGCCUUCUGUAUGCUGGUCCUUAGCUAUUUCUCAUCUAAUCAUCGAUCCUGUGAAAGGGAGAUCAGACACACAGGGGGCAGGACCAGGGUUCAAAUCCGGUUCUGUCCUUUGUCAGCAGACUGGGGAGAGUUCCUUGUCUAUAGCAUGGAGAUGACGACAGGAGUUGCCUCCUCAGGGCUGGUGUGGGGUCCAAGACACCGUCCAGCGCAUAGUAAGUGCUCAGUAAACAGGAACUGGCCUCGGGACUCUGCGGUUGCUAUUACCCCAUUUCCUAAUGGGGAAACAGAGGCCCAGAGAGGCUACAAAUUUGCCCAAGGCCACACAGCUAGGAGUCGCAGAGCCACCGGCAGGUCUGUGGAGCCCUGAAGCCAGGGUCUGGAGACCGUCCCCAAGCAUGAAAUCCAUUGGAGGGUUACGCCCUUCCCCUCAAGUCUAGCAGGUGCUGGACAGGCCUACUGUGUGCCAGGCUGGGCGGGCGGCUGUGAAGAUGGGCAGACACGGAACCGGCGCCCCACAGCGCGUGGCCUCAUGGGGCAGACAGACGACAACAGCUCCCUUAGUGACGCAGGGUAUGAGGUACCGUCACCAGUGAGCCCAGGGCUGGAGGGGGACAGCCGUGAAGGCUCCUGGUUUUGGUUCUCGUGGAAAAGGAGCCCCAAACCAGUCCACCAGGAAUGACCCGAUGCGCAGGAGGGAGGUCAUCGGUCUCACCGACCCCUGGAUUCGACCUUGCCACGACCAACUGUUGGCUUUUUGCUGGCAUAGCUUCCAUGUUCCACUCCCGUCUGCCUCUAAAGGUCUUCCCUUUUGUCCAGCUCCUCGCAGCUCCUUUUCACCUGCCACGUGGAGAGGGCAGCUCGCCUGAAGCACGAGCUGUUGAAUAAAACCGAUGAGAUCUUCAGCGCUUGCUCAGUCGAAUAUUGUUUUUCACACUGGGACAGCCGUGCGAACUCUCAAGUCGGGUUCUCACAUGUCAGUUUGCAGGGGGAUCACCUGGGUAGGAUGCAGACUGCGGCCCCGGGGCCUGACUCCCUUAGAGUUUCUGACUCUGUUGCCUGAGGGGGAUGGACAAUUUGCAUUUCUAGCAUUUUCCCUGUGACUGUGCUUUGAGAACCACUGCUCCAAACAGAAAGUGAUUUGUAAAUGAGGCUCUUUGGCACAGGAGAUGCUCAGCCCCAAACAUGGAUGACCGUGUGCAUGGCUGGGACAAGGAGCCGCACAGCCUCACGGGAGGAUUGGCCAUCCCUGCCCCGGCCACCAGCACAGCUGGAGCCGGCUGGGGCUCUGGGCCAGCCUGCCUGGGGUUCCAAGCCUGACCUCGUUGCUUUCUCGGGUGUGGCCUUGGGCAUUACGUGACUCAUCGGGCCUCAGUUUCGUCAUCUAUAAAAUGGGGUGAAUAAUGGUACCGACCUUAUGAGAUGUGUUAAGAUUAAAUCCAUGUAAAGUGCCUAGACCGGGGCCUGGCACAGAGAAGGGCUCAGAAUGC